UGGGGAAUAUUGCACAAUGGACGCAAGCCUGAUGCAGCCAUGCCGCGUGUAUGAAGAAGGCCUUCGGGUUGUAAAGUACUUUCAGCGAGGAGGAAGGCAUUAAGGUUAAUAACCUUGGUGAUUGACGUUACUCGCAGAAGAAGCACCGGCUAACUCCGUGCCAGCAGCCGCGGUAAUACGGAGGGUGCAAGCGUUAAUCGGAAUUACUGGGCGUAAAGCGCACGCAGGCGGUCUGUCAAGUCGGAUGUGAAAUCCCCGGGCUCAACCUGGGAACUGCAUUCGAAACUGGCAGGCUAGAGUCUUGUAGAGGGGGGUAGAAUUCCAGGUGUAGCGGUGAAAUGCGUAGAGAUCUGGAGGAAUACCGGUGGCGAAGGCGGCCCCCUGGACAAAGACUGACGCUCAGGUGCGAAAGCGUGGGGAGCAAACA
rnacentral:rRNA from 1 species